rnacentral:rRNA from 1 species
AAAAACAUUUCUUAUAAAUUUUUAUAAGUAAAAUCUGCUCCAUGAUUUAUAAAUAGCCGCAGAAUCUUAACUGUGCUAAGGUAGCAUAAUCAUUUACCUUUUAAUUAAAGGUUUGUAUGAACGAUUCUACAAUUAAACUACUUUUUUAUAAAUUUUUAUUAAACUUAAACUAAAAAUAAAAAUGUUUUUAUAAAGCAAAAAGACGAUAAGACCCUAUUGAACUUUACCAACGUUUAGCUGGGGAAGCAAGUUAAAUAUAAUUUUAACUUACAACAAGUUAUAAUUUCCUAAUAAAAUUAUUCUAACAAGUUACCAUAGGGAUAACAGCGUAAUAUAAUUUUAAAGCUCAUAUUAAAAAUUAAGCUUACGACCUCGAUGUUGAAUU